UCGAGCGAGAAAGUCUUCGGAUGAGUAAAGCGGCGGACGGGUGAGUAAUACGUAGGUAAUCUACCUUUUUGUGUGGAAUAACUAAGGGAAACUUUAGCUAAUACCGCAUGUAGUUUCAGAUCUUAUGGUCUGAAAAAAAAGGGGGGUCGUAAGAUCUCUCGCAAAAAGAUGAGCCUGCGUCCGAUUAGCUAGUUGGUGAGGUAAUGGCUCACCAAGGCGACGAUCGGUAGCUGAUUUGAGAGAAUGAUCAGCCACACUGGAACUGACACACGGUCCGGACUCCUACGGGAGGCAGCAGUGGGGA
rnacentral:rRNA from 1 species